GGAAAGGCAAUAGCUCAGUGGUACAGCAUCUGCACUGCCUGCAGAAGGUCCCAGGUUCAAUCCCUGACGUCUCCA